rnacentral:misc_RNA from 1 species
AACAAGGCGUACCUGCGGACCUGCGGAGGGAUCAUUAACCUUUCAAAAAACAGGGUGCGUCGCGGCCCCCCUCCGGGGGCGGUUUGGGGUCCUCCCCUUCACGCGCGCACGACUGCAUCCUUACUUUACGAGCACCUUCUGUUCUCCCUCGGCGGGGCAACCUGCCGUUGGAACCGAAUAAACCCUUUUUUGCAUCCAGCAUUACCCGUUCCGAAACAAACAAUCGUUACAACUUUUAAC